UCCAUGUGACUCAUAUGACAUUUUACAAUGCGCAGUUGCAGUUGUGUUUGUUUACGGGGUGAAACAGUCGCUGUCAAACUUCAAGUUCGAUUGUAAUAACUUUUCUUGUGAAAAGAUGUAUAUUCCUGGAGAUACUGAUAUGAGUGCGGUCACUUUCCCCUGCGUGGUCCAUUGUGUGAUUUUGAUGAUGCCGUCUGUCAUAAAGCAGUGCGAUCAUAGGUCUGAAGUUGGAGGCAACAUGUUCACUCUCAUUGCAACCAUUAUCGAGGCUGCUCGUUGGCAUGGCGAUUGUCCGCUACAAAUGUUGUUCACAUCUGGGAAAGACGAUGAAUUGAUCCGGUUUGGACUAGUUGAACUUUUUACGUUCAUACCGACUAUCAUUCACAUUUUGAGGAUGUGUAGUGAUUGCGAAAAUACAAAAUUAUACGAAAAUGAAUGUUUAGGUUGUUACAGCGAAUUAGGAAAACAUGUGUUUCUGCUUCUUGUUAGUUGGCUUAUCCAUAUUGUUGGCUUUGGUAUAAGGCUGAAAAGGUGAAUGAAAUGACGCUUAUUUAAUUUGGAAGUGCAUAGCACAUUUAAGUAUAUGAUUAAGUAGAUGUCCAGUGUCAUAACUGUGACUUAGAUUUACCUGAUAGCCGUAUUUAAACAAUAACGUGGUUUUCUUUCUUUAUGAAGUAUUAUUGUUAUUAUAAAAUAAACAUAGCUGUUUUGCAUUCUAUAUUGUAGAAAGCCUACCAAAGUUUUGCACUAAGUCUAGUACAAUGUACUUCACACAAAGUUUAAGGUGGACGCCAGCUAUAGCAAUGGCCUAAGUUUUUCUAUAUUGAUUUACUGCUUACCAUUUCAGUUAAAAUUCGGUGACCGCCUCUGAUCAUAAAGUUGUUUUUUUGUGUGUGUGUUUUUUUACAUUAUGCUACCAACUUCGUAUUGAACACAGCUUGUAUACAGAAUAUAUAAUAAACCUAUCAAACCAUGGAAAGUCAAUACAAACAUAUAACCCAUGUUUGUCGCGAAAGCAUUUAACUAAUUUUGAGAAAAUUUAAUAAUUAUCAAGGGAGGGAACUCUUUCUUAGCGCCGAAUGUUUAAUUGUCCGCCCUUCUUUAUUUUGGCGCCUUUCUCACUUGUUCUCUAGUUUUAAUCCGGUUCGGACGUGUGUUUUCUCCCUCCCUCCCGCCCGAUUCUUUUCUUUCUUUUUGUCGAACAAGUUCUCAAUUUUAUCUUUGCUUACAUAGUUACCCCUUUUCUUCCCUCUUUUAUUUAAGGAUAUUGAAUAUUAUAUUAUGUUUUUUUUCACUUUAUUAUGCUUUCUGAUGUAGUGUAUCCUUGCAUUGAGGAUUUUUGGCUGCUUUUGACAAAACUUUAUAUCUAUGUUAAUUUCAUUUACAAUCUAGCAGCCCAUUAUUUCGGCCAAAUUAAAUUUAUAUUUUA